rnacentral:misc_RNA from 1 species
GAUGAAGAACGUAGCGAAAUGCGAUAAGUAGUGUGAAUUGCAGAAUUCAGUGAAUCAUCGAAUCUUUGAACGCACAUUGCGACCCUUGGUAUCCCGAGGGGCAUGCCUGUUCGAGCGUCAUUUCACCACUCAAGCCUGGCUUGGUGUUGGGCGACGUCCUCUUUGGGGACGCGCCUCGAAACGCUCGGCGGCGUGGCACCGGCUUUAAGCGUAGCAGAAUCUUUCGCUUUGGAAGUCAGGGCCCCGUCUGCCGGAAGACCUGCUCGCAAGGUUGACCUCGGAUCAGGCAGGGAUACCCGCUGAACUUAAGCAUAUCAAUAAGCGGAGGA